AUCCUAUUGCCGUUCAUGUAGGUGUGAUGAUUGGGUGUUCACGUUGUCAAGUGACAUGUGCUUCCCUCAAACCUUGUUAUGAUGUUGGCACAUUACGCAUCUGAGG
ensembl:snoRNA